rnacentral:rRNA from 1 species
UACGUAGGGUGCAAGCGUUGUCCGGAAUUAUUGGGCGUAAAGAGCUCGUAGGCGGUUUGUUGCGUCGGCUGUGAAAUCCCGAGGCUCAACCUCGGGUCUGCAGUCGAUACGAGCAAACUAGAGUGUUGCAGGGGAGACUGGAAUUCCUGGUGUAGCGGUGAAAUGCGCAGAUAUCGGAAGGAACGCCGGUGGCGAAAGCGCGCUGCUGGACCUCUGCUGACGCUGAUGGACGAAAGCUAGGGGAGCGAAAGGG